rnacentral:rRNA from 1 species
GAUGAACGCUGGCGGCGUGCCUAAUACAUGCAAGUCGAGCGAACAGACGAGGAGCUUGCUCCUCUGACGUUAGCGGCGGACGGGUGAGUAACACGUGGAUAACCUACCUAUAAGACUGGGAUAACUUCGGGAAACCGGAGCUAAUACCGGAUAAUAUAUUGAACCGCAUGGUUCAAUAGUGAAAGACGGUUUUGCUGUCACUUAUAGAUGGAUCCGCGCCGCAUUAGCUAGUUGGUAAGGUAACGGCUUACCAAGGCAACGAUGCGUAGCCGACCUGAGAGGGUGAUCGGCCACACUGGAACUGAGACACGGCCCAGACUCCUACGGGAGGCAGCAGUAGGGAAUCUCCCGCAUUGGGCGAAAGCCUGCCGGAGCAACGCGGCGUGAGUGAUGAAGGUCUUCGGAUCGUAAAACUCUGUUAUUGGGGAAGAACAAAUGUGUAAGUAACUAUGCACGUCUUGACGGUACCAAAUCAGAAAGCCACGGCUAACUACGG